CGCCGGCGAUGGUGUAGGGACCGCCCGCUCCGCCGCCACCGAAGUAGGCCGGCGCGUGCAGGGUGCCGUAGGUGUUCUGGGGCUCCUUGCCGACGU
rnacentral:tRNA from 1 species